AUGCACUUGGAGCCUGGGGCCAGACUGGUGCUAACACUGCAAACUUUGUCGAGAGCUCUCUCCAAUCUGAAGGCUUGCUGGGGGCGCAAUGUCACCGUCACAACGCUGGGCCCUUUCAGAAAAGUGCCAGAUCGUGUCACUGGUGCUAUUUUUCAUGCUCUGGUACAAUGUGUAGCACCACAGGGGUCUCAGCUUUACCAAAAUCAAAAUCCCGUUUGUCAGCUAAUUGCAGGGGCAUUUGGUUUUUUUCUUUUUUUGCUCUCCUCACCCAGGAUUUGUUGGCCAUUUCUUUGCAGGCCUCUUCUCCCAGCCCUGCGCUCUCGGGUUGGCUCUGUUUAGUGAGCCCAUCUUUAUGAAGCUGCACUCAGGUGCCUGUGAGCUGUCUUAGAUCCCACGCCAGCCCUUCAGGACUGCGAGCCAGGGAAAAGCUCUACGCCCCUAUGGCUCUUGCCUCUGGUUUCUUCCCUCAUUCUCUUCCUCUGUUCUUCCCCUCCUAGUUCCAGCUCAUUCCAUUUCUCUUUUUGUGUACCUCUCCUUUCUCCUUCCUUCCUGUCCUCUCUGGUUUUCUCCUACAUUCCCUUUUCACUCCUUCCCCUGCACUCCCCCAUCUCUCUGUCUGUCUCUCCUUUAGUCUAGUCUCUUCCUGUUCCUUUCUCCACCUUUCCUGUCCUUUCUCUUCUCACGUCUCUGAUCAUAUCCUCUCCCGUCACCAACUCCUUAAUUUUCCUGUCCUAUAAGGGCUCACGGCUGAUUCAGACAGCAAGUCCGUACACUGGACUCAUGACACAAAUUCUUUGGGUCACCGUUUUAUCUAGGCAGCCCAGAAAGCCAAGCUGAGCAUGAAUGAGGUCCUGCCCUGGAUCCAGCUCCAGCGCACCUCACUGAGCCAGCCUGCACCGCUGCCCUGGCAGUGACGAUGCAUGUGCUCUGGGCGCUGCCGGCACCUGGGUGCCUCUCUGCCUGAAGCCUGGUCCAAAGUGAGCCCACGCCUGGCACCAUCCCACGGCUCUGAGGACACUUCUUUUCACUAAAGGCAGACUCUGGCCCCGACAAUUAUUCUGACAGCAAACCUCUUCCUUCUCCUGGAAGCCAUGCCAUCACCUUGGUUUGGAGAGAGAGUUUUUUUUUCCCAUUCAUAAGCUUUCUUUUUCCUACUUUCAUGUGAGCUCCCUCUGCUUUUCAGCUGGUGAUUGCUCUGGUGAGAUUGAAUAGACUUGCUGUUGAAAUUACAUCUCUUUUUUCCUGUCUUGGUCCUGCCUAAAUUCCUACAAAAAUAUUAAAGUCAAAGACUCAGGCUAGUUCCUAAGUUUAUGAUAGUAACUUGUCACUCCUAAGGGGACAAAAGGGGAUAUUUCCCUUAGAGCAUGUGGAGUACCUCCCAUGACAACUGAUUUGAAAGAGGACUCCCUACAGAACUCUGUGGAUACCCAUUUUACUUCUGUGUCUGUAUGGUCUAUGUGGUAUAUGUAUCAUGUAUACACAUACUACAUUGGGUACAAAUGAAUGUGGAUGGAAACCCACACACACACUUUAGUCUGUAAAUAUCCUUCCUCACUGAAAACUGUGCUUCGGAAAUCAUUUCUUGUACAGCUGUGCAGUUUCUUGUAGCAGCUGAGGACAAGCUGAGACAGGUGAAGGAUUUAGACAAAGACCAUCUGAAAGGUAGAAUACAGAAUCUCCCUAACAACUCAUGAGGACAGACAACCAAAUGGCAAGGUUGACUCCCAAUGAGAUGGCAAACUUCUCUCCUUUUUGAACCUGUGUUUCCUAACCAUGUCUUACCUUCUGAGUGCACCAGGCUGUACGCGUGAGAUCUGUUCAAUAUGACAGUUUUGUGCUUCUCUCUGACAGGAUGCUUCUCCCUCGAGCUGUUGUGCAGGAUGGGAGGGAGGGGGGCAUACUCCUUGCCUGGGCUGGAGUUUACAGAGAUACUGCACAGCUUACACUCCUGUUAAGUGUAAAUAUUCCACACUUCCAUUCCAUUUGUGUAAAAAAUAAAGCACACACGGUUAUAAAAUCAA